AGGGUCCUUGGUUUGAGAGUUUUCUUUUUAAUGCUUUGAUGGUUUUCAUCUGUGAGAUGUUAAUUGACAUCAUAAAGCAUUCAUUCCUUGCCAAAUUCAAUGACAUAAAGCCCAUCGCAUACUCUGAAUUUCUUGAAGAGCUUUGCAGCCAGACUUUGAAUACUCAAACUGAGGACAAGAAAAAAAACCUCACUUUUGUUCCUUUGGCUCCAGCUUGUGUGGUUAUCCGAGUGCUGACUCCAGUAUAUGCUGCUCACCUUCCUUACAGUCCUCUCCCAUGGAGGUUCUUUUGGAUCCUCCUCCUGUCUGCCAUGACCUAUGUCAUGCUUACAAGUCUGAAGGUGAUGAUUGGAAUGGCCCUACAAAAGCAUGCCACUUGGUACAUCAAUAGGUGCCAGAAGAGAAAACGCCAUCUUCACAAUGAUUAGAAGUUAAAAUAAGAAAACAGAAUUACUUCAUAAGCAUCAAGGCCUGGUUUAUCUGACUGCUGAAGUUUUCCAGUAUUUUCCUGCUGGACGAAACAUCAACCGAUAACAUUUGCAAGAAGCCUCCUCCUGCAGUUGUUGGUCAUGUAAAAAAGGUGCAAAAAUAUUUUCGGAGAGCUUAAACUAAAGCUAGCCUGUUGGUCAGAGUUUCACAGGGGGUAAUGCUAUUCCCUUCAAUUUUGUUACAGCAAAAAGAUCAU
rnacentral:misc_RNA from 1 species